GACGAAGGGGGCUAGCGUUGUUCGGAAUUACUGGGCGUAAGGCGCGUGUAGGCGGUUGGUCAAGUCGGGUGUGAAAGCCUUGAGCUCAACUCAAGAAAUGCACUCGAUACUGGAUGACUAGAGGACCGGAGAGGAUAGUGGAAUUCCCAGUGUAGUGGUGAAAUACGUAGAGAUUGGGAAGAACACCAGUGGCGAAGGCGGCUAUCUGGACGGUUUCUGACGCUAAGACGCGAAAGCGUGGGGAGCAAACAGG
rnacentral:rRNA from 1 species